AGCAGAAAUCCCUUCAUACAUCUGGCAACCAAGUCCACUGCAACUUUUGGACCUCAGCUUUAAUAAGUUACAUGGGAAGCUUCCCGAUGCCAUAACCUCGGAGACUUUGUUACUUAUAUUCCUAAGUGGCAAUUUUCUGAGUGGAAAUAUACCAUUUUUGAGGAAAGGAAAAAUUGUAGAUCUUUCCUACAAUAACUUCACAAGGCAAAGUCCUGAGCAGCCUGCUUGCAAUCAGAAAUAUCCAAGUCUGAAUUUGUUCAGAAGUUCUUCAAUGGGAAAUGACAUAGGAGGAGCUUGUGCAAACAAUUUCAGUUGUGAUCAAUAUUGGCACUCUUUGUACAUUAAUUGUGGUGGAGAAAAGGUGAACGUAAAUGGAAAGACAUAUGAAGGAGAUGUAGCAGGUGGUGGUGCUGCACUGUUUUAUCCAAGUAAUGAUGACUGGGGAAUUAGCAGCACUGGAGACUUCAUGGAUGACGGUGAUUUCCAAAACAAUGCUUAUGUUGAAAAUUCUUCAUCACUAAACAUUGAUGAAUUGUACCGUACAGCACGCCUUUCACCUCUUUCACUCACUUAUUAUCGUCAGUGUCUAUUGAAUGGGAAUUAUACUGUGAGUCUACACUUUGCGGAGAUCCAGUUCACAAAUGACAGCACAUAUAAAAGCCUCGGAAGGCGCAUAUUUGAUAUUUAUAUUCAGAAUGAAAGAGUGCAG
rnacentral:misc_RNA from 1 species